CAUGCUAAUCUCUGUAUUGUUUCAAUUUUAGUGUAUGUGCUGACAAAGCGAGCACUGUAUGCCCUGUUUAUUAUGGAAACAUGUAAUGCUUCUAGAUGGAAGAUAUUUGAUAGGAUAAUAGACAUUAGCAGUGGUUUCCUCUGGAAAGAGAAAAUGGGCAUGCACUUGGCAGAGAAAGCUUCCACACUUUGGCAGAGGAACAGGCUGCUUUUAAUCUAACCCUGUUUCUUUGAGAAGUUGUUCCAUUUCAGCCAAACACCGCUUCAGGAGAACUGAAUGUGAAAACAAAAACACUAGUUCUGCCCCAUCCCUAUCCCGGUCUUCUCUCACUGUUCUCAGCAAGAAAAAAAAUAUCCUGUAUUUAAUCCUAAGACUUAACCUUUUCCUGACCCUGGACAAAAUGCAUAGUUUAGACAAAGGGUAGACACACCACCCACUCUUUCCUCAUGGUGAAGGUGUUAGUCAUCUAUUUUUCCCCUGUACUAGAGGUCUUUCAGAGCCAAUAGUCCCUCUGGCAAGAGUGAAGCUUCAUCUCUGCCCUGGAUGAUAGAGUCUUAGCAACCAGAAUCAGCCAUGCUGGAGGAGAGGUCCUUUGCAUUCAUUGCACCAAGUACUAGGUCGAUAAUGGCCCUGCCUAGCAAGAUACUUGGCCUCAGAAACAAGAAAGGGGUUGAUCAGAGAACCACAGGCCAGAGGGAAGUGGAGUCAUUGCAGCUCCAGAGUCUGCAUGGUUCAUUUUGACACUAAUCAUAGACUCACAGAGCCCCCAGACACCCUCCAGGAUAAGGCUCCUUAACUUUAGUUGGGUAACUGACCCCCUUGAGAAUCUGAUGAAACCACCACGCCCGGCCAUCACUUCUGUCAUUUUAAGGAGAAGGAAAACCAAACCUAAUAGAGACACUUGCUGAAAAC
rnacentral:lncRNA from 10 species